UGGUGUGAUCAUACGAGCGUUAAUGCACCGAAUCCCAUCAGAACUUCACAUUUAAGCGUGUUUGAGAUAAAGUAGUACUGGGAUGGGUGACCUCCCAAGAAUUCCUAGUGUUGCACCCU
rnacentral:rRNA from 1 species